GGGGUAGCGGUUUGAGGUUCAUCCAAUAGCUUAAAGAUCACUGUCGCACAAAAGAUAAGUUCCCACCGUUAGUUAUACCUUUUACACCCUGCAGAACUUUAAUCUGUUGCCUGUUUUCAGGAAUUAUUAGCUCUCGAGGAGAGAAUGGGGAGUGUUAGCACAGCUCUGUCCGAGGAGGCAUUGUCAAAGUGCAUCCGGAAAAGCAUUUAUCAGUCUAUGCCUUCAGAAAUAGGGGAAUUUGGAAGCGGCGAGAAUGAAGAUGAGGUCAAAUGCUCUAUUUGUCAGGAGGAGUAUGUGAUUGGAGAUGAAAUAGGAAGGUUGGAAUGUGAUCAUGGGUAUCAUAUGGAGUGUGUAAAACAUUGGUUGAGUCUCAAGAAUUGGUGUCCUAUAUGUAAAGCUUCAGCAGCUCCAUCUUAGCUCAAUUGGUGUAUAUAUACUGUUCUUGUCACAUUAAACAUUGUUUCUGUUCAUUAUGCUUUUGUGUAUAUAUACAGUUCUUGUCACAUUAAGCCAAUAAACCCAAGCAAAUACAGGCUGUGUGGUGAUAGCUAAGGAACAUUGAUAGUUAUCUCCUUCAAAAAUUCUUAUAAAA
rnacentral:misc_RNA from 1 species